rnacentral:rRNA from 1 species
CAACUUUCAGCAAUGGAUCUCUCGGCUUUCGUAUCGAUGAAGAACGCAGCAA